rnacentral:rRNA from 1 species
UACGUAGGGUGCAAGCGUUGUCCGGAAUUAUUGGGCGUAAAGAGUUCGUAGGCGGUUUGUCGCGUCUGCUGUGAAAACCCGAGGCUCAACCUCGGGCCUGCAGUGGGUACGGGCAGACUAGAGUGCGGUAGGGGAGAUUGGAAUUCCUGGUGUAGCGGUGGAAUGCGCAGAUAUCAGGAGGAACACCAAUGGCGAAGGCAGAUCUCUGGGCCGUAACUGACGCUGAGGAGCGAAAGCAUGGGGAGCGAACAGG